UACGUAGGUGGCAAGCGUUGUCCGGAUUUACUGGGUGUAAAGGGUGCGCAGGCGGGACUGCAAGUUGGAUGUGAAAUACCGAGGCUUAACCACGGGACUGCAUCCAAAACUGUAGUUCUUGAGUGAAGUAGAGGUAAGCGGAAUUCCGAGUGUAGCGGUGAAAUGCGUAGAUAUUCGGAGGAACACCAGUGGCGAAGGCGGCUUACUGGGCUUUAACUGACGCUGAGGCACGAAAGCAUGGGUAGCAAACAGGAUUAGAUACCCGCGUAGUCCCU
rnacentral:rRNA from 1 species